UGGGGAAUAUUGGACAAUGGGCGAAAGCCUGAUCCAGCCAUGCCGCAUGUGUGAAGAAGGCCUUUUGGUUGUAAAGCACUUUAAGUGGGGAGGAAAAGCUUAUGGUUAAUACCCAUAAGCCCUGACGUUACCCACAGAAUAAGCACCGGCUAACUCUGUGCCAGCAGCCGCGGUAAUACAGAGGGUGCAAGCGUUAAUCGGAAUUACUGGGCGUAAAGCGCGCGUAGGUGGUUAUUUAAGUCAGAUGUGAAAGCCCCGGGCUUAACCUGGGAACUGCAUCUGAUACUGGAUAACUAGAGUAGGUGAGAGGGGAGUAGAAUUCCAGGUGUAGCGGUGAAAUGCGUAGAGAUCUGGAGGAAUACCGAUGGCGAAGGCAGCUCCCUGGCAUCAUACUGACACUGAGGUGCGAAAGCGUGGGUAGCAAACAGGAUUAGAUACCCUGGUAGUCCACGCCGUAAACGAUGUCUACCAGUCGUUGGGUCUUUUAAAGACUUAGUGACGCAGUUAACGCAAUAAGUAGACCGCCUGGGGAGUACGGCCGCAAGGUUA
rnacentral:rRNA from 1 species